AGCGAACGCUGGCGGCAGGCCUAAUACAUGCAAGUCGAGCGGCCCUUCGGGGCAGCGGCGGACGGGUGAGUAACGCGUGGGAAUGUGCCCUUUGGUACGGAACAACACAGGGAAACUUGUGCUAAUACCGUAUGUGCCCUUCGGGGGAAAGAUUUAUCGCCAUUGGAGCAGCCCGCGUUGGAUUAGGUAGUUGGUGAGGUAAAGGCUCACCAAGCCUACGAUCCAUAGCUGGUCUGAGAGGAUGAUCAGCCACACUGGGACUGAGACACGGCCCAGACUCCUACGGGAGGCAGCAGUAGGGAAUCUUGCGCAAUGGGCGAAAGCCUGACGCAGCCAUGCCGCGUGAAUGAUGAAGGUCUUAGGAUUGUAAAAUUCUUUCACCGGGGAAGAUAAUGACGGUACCCGGAGAAGGAGCCCCGGCUAACUUCGUGCCAGCCGCCGCCGUAAUAC
rnacentral:rRNA from 1 species